rnacentral:lncRNA from 1 species
GGCUCGACAAGCUGCGUCGAAGGGUGCAGUGGCGGAGGGGGAGGCAGCAGCCGUCAGUGAUCUGGACUCCUUUGCCGAGUAUGCGCCAUUCAUGACAGAAGGGGAGCGGGCGUUCCUUUUCCAUUUGUGCGAGCGGCUGGGGUUCGGGGGUCUGGCGGGCAUAUCGCGCCCGACGGCAAUUGACCAAUCGCCCUUCAGCUCGGCGUUUGGUCAAAUAUCUGCGGGGUUACAUGAUAUGUUCGAGGCGGCGUCUAAGCAGCCCCGGAUUGAGGAAGAGCUCAGGGGGGAGAUCGGAGGUCUCCAGAGGGAGCUGGCGGAGGCCAAGGAGAGAUUGGCGGAGGCCGAGCAGGGGCUGGCCAAGGCGGAGUGUGACUAUGCGGACGCCCGCGGCAAGCUUAAUGCGGCCAUAAGGCGGGACCUGGAGAGGAAUGAACGCGUCUCCCAGUUGGAGCAGGAGAUCGCAUUGCUGCAGGAGCGGAUAGCCGCUAAAGAUAAGAAGCUCAUUAUUGUGCAGCGGGAGUCUGCCGCCAGACUGGGUGAGAUGCAGCGGCUGGACGGGGAGGUCAACCGCCUGAAAAAUGAACAGAGUUCUUCUGCAGCCGCCGCCGUUGAAGCGUUCAAGAUGUCGGCGGAGUAUAAAAAGACAUUGACCGAAGCGGCGAAGUCUGGGGCCCGG